rnacentral:misc_RNA from 1 species
AGUCGUAACAAGGUAACCGUAGGUGAACCUGCGGUUGGAUCAUUACUUAUUAUCAGUGACUAGCUUGCUAGAUUACUAAUAGUGGUCUCCUAUUUAUAGGGGACUACAAAACAUAAUGUGAACUGUUGAUUAGUGAACGAGAGUUACUAGUUUGUUAUAGGAUUGGUUAUACUUUUAGUAUUUAUACUUUAAGGAUGGCCAGUCUCUAUACCUUUCUAUUACCUUGACUUCAAUAUAACAUAUACUAUAAGAACAAGUGAGUUAACCUAUCUUUAUGAUAAAAGAAUAUGGAAAACAACUUUUGACAAUGGAUCUCUUGGCUCUCGCAUCGAUGAAGCAGC